GGGCGGCUAAAAGUUUGUUAGAGUUAAGGUAGCGAGGUGUCCUUGGGCGGGUCGGGGCUAUUUGGGCGAAAUUGUGAAAUCUGUUAACUUGUGGUAGCUCUGGCUUGGGUGGGGUGUCUUCGAGUCUUUGAAUUCUAAGGGGUAAAACAGGAUUAGAUACCCUGCUAUACUUAGUCGAAAAUAUUUUACUUUGGGGUAGUAAAUAGGUAUGGUCUCGAAACCCAAAGGAUUUGGCGGUAUCUAAGUCUAGUUAGAGGAACUUGUACAGUAAACGAUAGUCCGCGAGGAUCUAGCCUCAGCUUGUGUGUUUCAGUUUGUAUACCGCCAUUAUUAGGUAAUUUCGGUGGAAGUCUAUCGUGAUGGGAGCUCGCUUAGGAUAUUAGGUCAAGGUGCAGCUUAUGCUGGGGGCGCUAUGAGUUACAUUGGGAUGGGCUCAAACGGAUAAAGUGAGGGAGGUUGCUUUUGAAGGUGGAUUUAAUAGUAAUGCGUAUAUAUUGUUGUAGGUCUGAUAGGGGCUCUUGGAUAUGUACACAUCGCCCGUCGUUCUCACUUC
rnacentral:rRNA from 1 species